rnacentral:rRNA from 1 species
GACGAACGCUGGCGGCGUGCUUAACACAUGCAAGUCGAACGGAAAGGCCCUGCUUUUGUGGGUUGCUCGAGUGGCGAACGGGUGAGUAACACGGGAGUAACCUGCCCUUGACUUUGGGAUAACUUCAGGAAACUGGGGCGAAUACCGGAUAGGAGCUCCUGCUGUAUGGUGGGGGUUGGAAAGUUUCGGCGGUUGGGGAUGGACUCGCGGCUUAUCAGCUUGUUGGUGGGGUAGUGGCUUACCAAGGCUUUGACGGGUAGCCGGCCUGAGAGGGUGACCGGCCACAUUGGGACUGAGAUACGGCCCAGACUCCUACGGGAGGCAGAAGUGGGGAAUAUUGCACAAUGGGCGGAAGACUGAUGCAGCAACGCCGCGUGCGGGAUAACGGGCUUCGGGUUGUAAACCGCUUUCGCAUGUGACGAAGAGUAAGUGACGGUAAUGGGUAAAGAAGCAACGGCUAACUACGUG